rnacentral:lncRNA from 1 species
CAUGGUAGAACUUUAGGACAAUAUGUAGGAGUACAAUAUUUUAGACAUUGAAUUAUGUGAGGAUCAAAUAGUUGAAAGCUGGAAUUUUUUUUCUUUUUGAGACGGAGUCUCGCUCUGUUGCCCUGGCUGGAGCACAGUGGCAUGUUCUCCACUCACUGCAACAUCCACCUCCCAAGUUCAAGCGAUUCUCAUGCCUCAGCCUCCCAAGAAUCUGAGAUAACAGGUGGCCACCACCAUGCCCGCCUAAUUUUUGUAUUUUUAGUAGAGACGAGGCUUUACCAUGUAGGUGAGGCUGGUCACAAACUCCUGACCUCAGGUGAUCCGCCCACCUUGGCCUCCUAAAGUGCUGGAAUUAUAGUCAUGAGCCACCACGCCCGGCCAAAAGCUGGAAAUUAAUGAGUUCAAUGCAAACUUCAAACUUCUUGAGGAGGCUGUGGCUGUUGAGUGGUGUAGAGGAGAGGAAGGGAAGGAGGGAGGAAACAAACACAUAUUGAGCACCUACUCGGUGCUUUCCCUGUGAUGUCCCAUGUAGGCCACAACCAUAGAGUGCAGGCAUUAUUUAUGCCUGGUUUCAAACCCUGGUCACUUGGAUCCCAUGAUCCUGUGUUCCCAAGCUCCAGCCCCCAGCUGCUCCUGAGAAAGCCAAGCUUCAGAGAGCAGGGCUCCCACUCCCAACCAGACGUUCAUGGCUUUCUCCUUUCACACCCAGGCCUCUAUUCUGCUGUUCACCUACCUUGGUCUUUUUAUCUGCCUUGGUGCCUGGAAUUACCGGAUCACUGCUUCCUACCUUGGGGUCAGAAUUGCCCUCCCACAGGUACUCUGUGACCACACAGACAUCCCUGUGGGGGCCACACUCAGCACCAAGCCCUCAUGGAAAGCAACUUUUCAGGCAGGACGGGGUGGGGCACAGAAAGGAAAGGUGGGGCGGGGGUUUCUGUUGCAGGUCCUGGCCUGGCAUGUCCCCAGCCCCCAACCUUCCCUCUUCAGCAACCUCACUGAUUACCUGGAGUCCUCAUCCUCAAGGCUGGAGUCUGGAAGAAGACUCUUGGAGUAUGGGAUGACGCAGCAAGAA